GCCAGCGUGGCACAGUGGUUUGAGUGUUGGCUUAUGAUUCUGGAGAUCAGAGUUCGAUUCCCAGCUUGGCC